rnacentral:lncRNA from 1 species
CAUCCCAUCCCAUCCCAUCCCAUCCCAUCCCACCCCUCAGAGCCUCACCAGCCGCUUGCAGCUCAGUGCAAAGUCUCAGUAAACAUUUAUUCGAAGCUUUGCCACAAUUAACCUUAAGUUGAUUUGUGAAACUGGUCUACAAAUACUGAACUACGGAGUACAUGGUUUGGAUGGUCCGAUAAAGGAAUAAAUAAAAGCAUGUAAAGCUCUGUAAAAAAGAAGUCUGGUAUAUUGUAACUAGUUAACAGGAUUACCAGCAGGAUCUCGUAUGUGUCUAGGAUCGGAAGUGAACACACGGCAUCUCUUCAGACCAAAUCAUUUUUACAUAAACAGUUGUACAAACUUAAACACUGUAAUCAUAAAACCUGAUGUACAAAACAGGAUGUGAAAUCACUACCAUCAGUGCCAACAACAAGUGCUACCACAGCAAAUAUAACUUCUGAAUAAAAGGAAAGGAUUGGUUUUUACAUGUGCUGUCAUCACAGGUCGAUGGAAUUAUCCAAAAAGUUUAAAAUACAUGCGGAUACAAUAAAACCUUUUAUUUUCCAACCCAGACAAAGAGAACUCAUGGUCACUUAACACCAUUAGCUGCCAAAUACAGAUCAGUAUGUGAGGCAAACCACACUUAAACACUUACACACCACCAAAGAGCAAAGGUUGAUACUGGUCUAUUUUCCACACCGACGAUGCAACGACGAGUCUGGAGAAGCAAACCACGUGAAGGAGGUGCUACAAGUACAGCACUGAGUUCAAUGCACUGACACCCAAACCACCAGCACUGAGCUGUACUGGGUGUGUACACUGCACUGUGACACCCAAACCACCAGCACUGAGCUACACUGGGUGUGUACACUGCACUCUGACACCCAAACCACCAGCACUGGAGUGCUCUGCCAGAGGGGAAGAGCACAGCAGGAUCCCAGAGCAGACAGCUGAAAACCUUCAGGAGUGGGAACACUGCAGGAUUCCAAAGCAGGCAGGUGAAAACUUUCAUGAAUGGGAACACUGCAGGAUUCCAGAGGUUGGCUCCCAGAGCAGGAAGAGCACUGCAGGAUUCCAGAGGCUGGCUCCCAGAGCAGGCAGCUGAAAACCCUCAGAACCCCGGUGAGUUCCCGAUCCCGGGCAGCCAGACCCAUCCUUGGCGCCUGUGCCAGCCGCUCACACAGGCAUGGGCUCUCCAGUGGCACAGGAAGGUCCAGGAGCAGGAUCUGUCCUGCAGGAGCAGCCAGGUGGGGCUGUCCCUGUGUCACCUGUGCCCCAGCAGGGCACCAUGGCUGUGGCAGAGCUCCAUGAAGUCACAGCAAGAAGCUGAAGCUACCAGGGUUGUCCUGUGCCAUCCCCACCUGGGACAGGUGAUGCUGCUGAGGUUUGUCCCGUGCCAUCCUUGCCCUGAUACAGUGACACUGCUGAGGGUUGUCCCGUGCCACCCCUGCAGGUGUAACCCACAGGUGACACAGAGCCCUGCCUGUCUCUGA